AAUGCCCCCGGGUGAUCUUCUCAUCCACGGACCCGGUGGAGACGGCGAACUCCAACAAUCUGGGGGCUCGGGAUCGAGAUAGAGGUCGGCAUUCGGCAAAUACCAGACGAGACCUGAAUGGGCACGGAAGGCUGCAGGCGCCACUAACAAAAGAACUGAAGCUUUCGAAGGUCAUUUGGAAAAGCACAAGAAAGGACCUUGUGAAAUACAUACAGGAUUACAAGCCCCUUAUUGAUUCAGUGCCUCAGGCUCGGAUUCUUCUCAUUGGUCAGAUUACAGCUGGAAAAUCAAGCUUCUUCAACUCCAUCAACUCUAUCUUCCGUGGCAACAUAACAAGCCAAGCUGACGUAGGAUUUGUAGGAACAAGCCUGACCUUGAAGUUAAUGUGAUUAUGCGAGUCUUCAUUUCACAUGAAAGACUACCUUAUACAGCUGUCCACCAUUCUGGUCAGUGUUUGUUCCACAUCUGCUAUGUUUAUUUGCAGUUUGUUACUCGUUGCUCUUUGUUGUCCUCAUUUAGGACAGUACUGAAUCCCUUGUAUGAAAUUUAGUUUGAGCCCAUUGUCACAAAAAUUUUACCCAGAGACAUAGUUCUGAAGUGAUGGGAAAUUAUUUCUUCUUGCAAAAGGGAAGCAGAGUGAUACACAAGAGAUGAUCACAGACAGCUUCAAUGAAAAGGAGGUGCAAUGUUCUAAUUUAUACAUUGGGACAAGCUAUAUAUAAAUGGUCUACUCUCCAUAA